GAUGAACGCUAGCGACAGGCCUAACACAUGCAAGUCGAGGGGUAACAGGGAGCUUGCUCCGCUGACGACCGGCGCACGGGUGAGUAACACGUAUGCAACCUUCCUUUAACUGGGGGAUAGCCCGGAGAAAUUCGGAUUAAUACCCCAUAAUAUCACAGAAAGGCAUCUUUUUGUGAUUAAAGCUCCGGCGGUUAAAGAUGGGCAUGCGUACCAUUAGCUAGUUGGUGAGGUAACGGCUCACCAAGGCAACGAUGGUUAGGGGGUCUGAGAGGAUGAUCCCCCACACUGGUACUGAGACACGGACCAGACUCCUACGGGAGGCAGCAGUGAGGAAUAUUGGGCAAUGGGCGCAAGCCUGACCCAGCCAUGCCGCGUGAAGGAUGAAUGCCCUAUGGGUUGUAAACUUCUUUUGUACGGGACGAAACUCCUGGUCGUGACCGGGAUUGACUGUACCGUGCGAAUAAGCAUCGGCUAACUCCGUGCCAGCCGCCGCCGUAAAAC
rnacentral:rRNA from 1 species